GGCGGCGUGCCUAAUACAUGCAAGUAGAACGCUGAAGGAGGAGCUUGCUUCUCUGGAUGAGUUGCGAACGGGUGAGUAACGCGUAGGUAACCUGCCUGGUAGCGGGGGAUAACUAUUGGAAACGAUAGCUAAUACCGCAUAAGAGUAGAUGUUGCAUGACAUUUGCUUAAAAGGUGCAAUUGCAUCACUACCAGAUGGACCUGCGUUGUAUUAGCUAGUUGGUGGGGUAACGGCUCACCAAGGCGACGAUACAUAGCCGACCUGAGAGGGUGAUCGGCCACACUGGGACUGAAACACGGCCCAGACUCCUACGGGAGGCAGCAGUAGGGAAUCUUCGGCAAUGGACGGAAGUCUGACCGAGCAACGCCGCGUGAGUGAAGAAGGUUUUCGGAUCGUAAAGCUCUGUUGUAAGAGAAGAACGAGUGUGAGAAGUGGAAAGUUUCACACUGUGACGG
rnacentral:rRNA from 1 species